AUUUGCUAAAAAAAAAAACGAUAUCAAAGAAUAUCACAAAACUUAAAAUAAGAGUAUUUAUAUCUGGAACGUUAAAUAACUUUUUUUCGAAACCUAAAAAUCAUGGACGUUUUCUGAAAAUCUACCGACCAACGAAACCCGAUUAUCAAUUUUUUUGGCUGAUUUUCAGUCAUGAUAUGUUGGAACUACAGGCUUUGGCAUGCACUUCGUCAUGGAGCGAUAUUCCGUUGAACAGCGCGUAAAAGUGAUCCAAACGUUUUAUGAACAUGGUCGUUCUUUAAGAAGUGAAUUUCGCGCAUUAAUACGUUUAACAAGCAAACGUUAUGUUAAAUAAAGGAUACGUUAGCAAGCAAAACUGCCGCAUUCGGGGUACUAAAAUCAACAUACGGGUAUCAUUUAAGAAAAUACUGUGUUUGGUGUGGUUUUUGGACUGGCGGAGUCAUUGGACCGUACUUCUUUGAAAA